GGGGUUGUAGGACACUCUAUACGGAGUUACAAAGGACGACAUUAGACGAAUCAUCUGGAAAGAUGAAUCAAAGAAGGUAAUAAUCCUGUAGUCGAAAAUGUUGUCUCUCUUGAGUGGAUCCUGAGUACGACGGAGCACGUGAAAUUCCGUCGGAAUCUGGGAGGACCAUCUCCUAAGGCUAAAUACUCUCUAGUGACCGAUAGUGAACCAGUACCGUGAGGGAAAGGUGAAAAGCACCCCGGAAGGGGAGUGAAAUAGAACCUGAAACCGUGUGCUUACAAGUAGUCAGAGCCCGUUAAUGGGUGAUGGCGUGCCUUUUGUAGAAUGAACCGGCGAGUUACGAUUUGAUGCAAGGUUAAGCAGUAAAUGUGGAGCCGUAGCGAAAGCGAGUCUGAAUAGGGCGUUUAGUAUUUGGUCGUAGACCCGAAACCAGGUGAUCUACCCUUGGUCAGGUUGAAGUUCAGGUAACACUGAAUGGAGGACCGAACCGACUUACGUUGAAAAGUGAGCGGAUGAACUGAGGGUAGCGGAGAAAUUCCAAUCGAACCUGGAGAUAGCUGGUUCUCUCCGAAAUAGCUUUAGGGCUAGCCUCAAGUGAUGAUUAUUGGAGGUAGAGCACUGUUUGGACGAGGGGCCCCUCUCGGGUUACCGAAUUCAGACAAACUCCGAAUGCCAAUUAAUUUAACUUGGGAGUCAGAACAUGGGUGAUAAGGUCCGUGUUCGAAAGGGAAACAGCCCAGACCACCAGCUAAGGUCCCAAAAUAUAUGUUAAGUGGAAAAGGAUGUGGCGUUGCCCAGACAACUAGGAUGUUGGCUUAGAAGCAGCCAUCAUUUAAAGAGUGCGUAAUAGCUCACUAGUCGAGUGACACUGCGCCGAAAAUGUACCGGGGCUAAACAUAUUACCGAAGCUGUGGAUUGUCCUUUGGACAAUGGUAGGAGAGCGUUCUAAGGGCGUUGAAGCAUGAUCGUAAGGACAUGUGGAGCGCUUAGAAGUGAGAAUGCCGGUGUGAGUAGCGAAAGACGGGUGAGAAUCCCGUCCACCGAUUGACUAAGGUUUCCAGAGGAAGGCUCGUCCGCUCUGGGUUAGUCGGGUCCUAAGCUGAGGCCGACAGGCGUAGGCGAUGGAUAACAGGUUGAUAUUCCUGUACCACCUAUAAUCGUUUUAAUCGAUGGGGGGACGCAGUAGGAUAGGCGAAGCGUGCGAUUGGAUUGCACGUCUAAGCAGUAAGGCUGAGUAUUAGUCAAAUCCGGUACUCGUUAAGGCUGAGCUGUGAUGGGGAGAAGACAUUGUGUCUUCGAGUCGUUGAUUUCACACUGCCGAGAAAAGCCUCUAGAUAGAAAAUAGGUGCCCGUACCGCAAACCGACACAGGUAGUCCAGAUGAGAAUUCUAAGGUGAGCGAGCGAACUCUCGUUAAGGAACUCGGCAAAAUGACCCCGUAACUUCGGGAGAAGGGGUGCUCUUUAGGGUUAACGCCCAGAAGAGCCGCAGUGAAUAGGCCCAAGCGACUGUUUAUCAAAAACACAGGUCUCUGCUAAACCGUAAGGUGAUGUAUAGGGGCUGACGCCUGCCCGGUGCUGGAAGGUUAAGAGGAGUGGUUAGCUUCUGCGAAGCUACGAAUCGAAGCCCCAGUAAACGGCGGCCGUAACUAUAACGGUCCUAAGGUAGCGAAAUUCCUUGUCGGGUAAGUUCCGACCCGCACGAAAGGCGUAACGAUUUGGGCACUGUCUCAACGAGAGACUCGGUGAAAUCAUAGUACCUGUGAAGAUGCAGGUUACCCGCGACAGGACGGAAAGACCCCGUGGAGCUUUACUGUAGCCUGAUAUUGAAAUUCGGCACAGCUUGUACAGGAUAGGUAGGAGCCUUUGAAACGUGAGCGCUAGCUUACGUGGAGGCGCUGGUGGGAUACUACCCUAGCUGUGUUGGCUUUCUAACCCGCACCACUUAUCGUGGUGGGAGACAGUGUCAGGCGGGCAGUUUGACUGGGGCGGUCGCCUCCUAAAAGGUAACGGAGGCGCUCAAAGGUUCCCUCAGAAUGGUUGGAAAUCAUUCAUAGAGUGUAAAGGCAUAAGGGAGCUUGACUGCGAGACCUACAAGUCGAGCAGGGUCGAAAGACGGACUUAGUGAUCCGGUGGUUCCGCAUGGAAGGGCCAUCGCUCAACGGAUAAAAGCUACCCCGGGGAUAACAGGCUUAUCUCCCCCAAGAGUUCACAUCGACGGGGAGGUUUGGCACCUCGAUGUCGGCUCAUCGCAUCCUGGGGCUGUAGUCGGUCCCAAGGGUUGGGCUGUUCGCCCAUUAAAGCGGUACGCGAGCUGGGUUCAGAACGUCGUGAGACAGUUCGGUCCCUAUCCGUCGUGGGCGUAGGAAAUUUGAGAGGAGCUGUCCUUAGUACGAGAGGACCGGGAUGGACAUACCUCUGGUGUACCAGUUGUCGUGCCAACGGCAUAGCUGGGUAGCUAUGUGUGGACGGGAUAAGUGCUGAAAGCAUCUAAGCAUGAAGCCCCCCUCAAGAUGAGAUUUCCCAACUUCGGUUAUAAGAUCCCUCAAAGAUGAUGAGGUUAAUAGGUUCGAGGUGGAAGCAUGGUGACAUGUGGAGCUGACGAAUACUAAUCGAUCGAAGACUUAAUCAA
rnacentral:rRNA from 1 species